UAAGGAAUAUUGCUCAAUGGGAGAAAUCCUGAAGCAGCAACGCCGCGUGGAGGAUGAAGGGUCUAUGACUUGUAAACUCCUGUAAAGAAGGAAAAAAUUCCCGUUUGAUGGGAGAUGAUGGUACUUCUGGAGUAAGCCCCGGCUAACUACGUGCCAGCAGCCGCGGUAAUACGUAGGGGGCAAGCGUUGUCCGGAUUUACUGGGUGUAAAGGGUGCUCAGGCGGAUUUGUAAGUCAGAGGUGAAAGCUUACAGCUUAACUGUGAAACUGCCUUUGAUACUGCAAGCCUAGAGUAUGGAAGAGAGUGAUGGAAUAUCUGGUGUAGCAGUGAAAUGCGUAGAUAUCAGAUAGAACACCUAUGGCGAAGGCAGUCACUUGGUCCAUUACUGACGCUAAAGCACGAAAGCGUGGGUA
rnacentral:rRNA from 1 species